rnacentral:rRNA from 1 species
UACGGAGGAUGCGAGCGUUAUCCGGAUUUAUUGGGUUUAAAGGGUGCGCAGGCGGAAUGUCAAGUCAGCGGUAAAAUUUCGGGGCUCAACCCCGUCGUGCCGUUGAAACUGGCGUUCUUGAGUGAGCGAGAAGUAUGCGGAAUGCGUGGUGUAGCGGUGAAAUGCAUAGAGAUCACACAGAACACCGAUUGCGAAGGCAGCUUACAAAUCUAUAUCGGACGCUGAGGCACGAAAGCGUGGGGAGCAAACAGG